rnacentral:rRNA from 1 species
GACGAACGCUGGCGGCGUGCUUAACACAUGCAAGUCGAACGGAAAGGCCUCUUUCGGGGGGUACUCGAGUGGCGAACGGGUGAGUAACACGUGAGUAACCUGCCCUUGACUUUGGGAUAACUUCAGGAAACUGGGGCUAAUACCGGAUAGGAGCUCCUGCUGCAUGGUGGGGGUUGGAAAGUUUCGGCGGUUGGGGAUGGACUCGCGGCUUAUCAGCUUGUUGGUGGGGUAGUGGCUUACCAAGGCUUUGACGGGUAGCCGGCCUGAGAGGGUGACCGGCCACAUUGGGACUGAGAUACGGCCCAGACUCCUACGGGAGGCAGCAGUGGGGAAUAUUGCACAAUGGGUGGAAGCCUGAUGCAGCAACGCCGUGUGCGGGAUGACGGCUUUCGGGUUGUAAACCGCUUUCGCUCAUGACGAAGCUUUGUGUGACGGUAGUGGGUAAAGAAGCACCGGCUAACUACGUG